rnacentral:snRNA from 1 species
AUAAUCUGAUUUCUCUUGAGAUCAAAUAAAUCCUUCCCCUUUUAAUGAAGAUUUCCGUGGAGAGAAACAAUUCUGAG